CCAGACUCCUACGGGAGGCAGCAGUGAGGAAUAUUGGUCAAUGGGCGCAAGCCUGAACCAGCCAAGUCGCGUGAGGGAUGACGGUCCUAUGGAUUGUAAACCUCUUUUGCCGGGGAGCAAGGGCGGGGACGUGUCCCGGCCCGGAGAGUACCCGGAGAAAAAGCAUCGGCUAACUCCGUGCCAGCAGCCGCGGUAAUACGGAGGAUGCGAGCGUUAUCCGGAUUUAUUGGGUUUAAAGGGUGCGUAGGCGGAAGGUUAAGUCCGGGGUUAAAUGCCGGGGCGCAAAACCGGCCUGCCGUUGAAACUGGUCUUCUUGAGUGAGCGAGAAGUAUGCGGAGUGCGUGGUGUAGCGGUGAAAUGCAUAGAUAUCACGCAG
rnacentral:rRNA from 1 species